CCAGCCAGGACUCAAGGGAGGGACGAAGUUUGCAACCCUGGUUUAGCCUCAAUUGGGAUCACAGAGAUGUCACGGAAAGCGCAAUCGGGAAAUGGAUUGUCUCCAUCUCUGCUCAUAGAAAGCAGGGCCCAAGUGUACAGGCAGCGCGUUUGUAUUUGAAGUUGUAUUAACUAGCUCUCUCUGCAAUUCCACAUACUAAAUUAUGACGUCCUCCUCGGAGCAGCAGCAUAAUGGACAACAGACGCCUGCAGGGAGAAGGGAAGCCAAGAUGGUCAGCCACGGGGAAGCUCAUCCACAGAGGGAAAGCUCAAUCCUGACCAUCUCGGCAAUCCUCAGUUUCUGCAGGAUGUUUGAAAGCUCCCAUUCGCUGCUGCCUUUGAAAGCUCCCAUUCGCUGCUGCCGCCUCUGCUCUCCACCAUGCUUCAGCUGCCCGUUGCCCCGCCCCGUGGCCUCUGACAUGUUUUGAAUGUCAUUUGAUAGAUGUCUAUCUGCUGCUUUUGUCUGUCUGUCAUUUGCUGCUUACUCUCUUGCUUGCUAUAUAAUGAAUAAACUCACAUAUUGGAAACUAAA
rnacentral:lncRNA from 1 species